rnacentral:rRNA from 1 species
GAUGAACGCUGGCGGCGUGCCUAAUACAUGCAAGUCGAGCGAACGGACGAGAAUCUUGCUUUUCUGAUGUUAGCGGCGGGCGGGUGAGUCACACGUGGAUAACCUACCUAUAAGACUGGGAUAACUUCGGGAAACCGGAGCUAAUACCGGAUAAUAUUUUGAACCGCAUGGUUCAAAAGUGAAAGACGGUCUUGCUGUCACUUAUAGAUGGAUCCGCGCUGCAUUAGCUAGUUGGUAAGGUAACGGCUUACCAAGGCAACGAUGCAUAGCCGACCUGAGAGGGUGAUCAGCCACACUGGAACUGAGACACGGUCCAGACUCCUACGGGAGGCAGCAGUAGGGAAUCUUCCGCAAUGGGCGAAAGCCUGACGGAGCAAUGCCGCGUGAGUGAUGAAGGUCUUCGGAUCGUAAAACUCUGUUAUUAGGGAAGAACAUAUGUGUAAGUAACUGUGCACAUCUUGACGGUACCUAAUCAGAAAGCCACGGCUAACUACGUG